rnacentral:rRNA from 1 species
GAUGAACGCUGGCGGCGUGCCUAAUACAUGCAAGUCGAGCGAACAGACGAGGAGCUUGCUCCUCUGACGUUAGCGGCGGACGGGUGAGUAACACGUGGAUAACCUACCUAUAAGACUGGGAUAACUUCGGGAAACCGGAGCUAAUACCGGAUAACAUGUUGAACCGCAUGGUUCAACAGUGAAAGACGGUCUUGCUGUCACUUAUAGAUGGAUCCGCGCCGCAUUAGCUAGUUGGUAAGGUAACGGCUUACCAAGGCAACGAUGCGUAGCCGACCUGAGAGGGUGAGCGGCCACACUGGAACUGAGACACGGUCCAGACUCCUACGGGAGGCAGCAGUAGGGAAUCUUCCGCAAUGGGCGAAAGCCUGACGGAGCAACGCCGCGUGAGUGAAGAAGGUCUUCGGAUCGUAAAACUCUGUUAGUAGGGAAGAACAAAUGUGUAAGUAACUAUGCACGUCUUGACGGUACCUAAUCAGAAAGCCACGGCUAACUACGUG